GUUGGAUUUAUUCAGAAUGAAGUAUCCAAAUCUGAGGAACCUGCUAAGGUUCAUUUAACAUAUCCUAUUACUAGCGGAGCAGUAGUAAUUUCUAACAGGGAUCAGAAAAGUCCUGACAAGAUUGUUAAGCCUAUAAGCAAUGCUAUUGUUAUUUUUGAAAACAAUGUCCUUUAUAAUCUAUGUGGGUCUGAAACUAAUUCUGCCCCUUGUACUGGUAGAUUGAAAGCUUUUUGUUGGAAACCCUUAUUAGAAGAUAUUUUAACAAAGUGUCCCAUCAAGGAUAAAAUCCCGGUGAUUACUAAUCAUGUAUGGGUAAAUUUGACUCCUGAGGUAGAAAUCAUGGAUAAUAAUUAUGACCAGAAUGAACAUUUAAAUGUCACUAUUUUGAGAUGGGCCUACUUUAAUACUCAAGCUUUAACUUCCAAUCUUUUUAUGCUACUGCCCUAUAUUAAUCAACCUAUUUUUGACUGCUCAGAUUCUCGUGUUAUUGAUAUUCAUCUUCCAUUUGGGGUAUACUAUUUAUCUGGUAGUUGGGCGGUAAAAAGACUUCCAUGCAAUUGGUUAUCUAGGUAAUAUUAUCCCAGCGUUAACCCUUCAUGAAAAUUUGCCUGAAGGAAGGGUGAGGAAUAAAAGAAAGGUUAUUAGUUCCAAAAAAGAUAAAACCGAAAGAACUGUAAAAUCUGGUGAAGGAGAUAGGCUAUUUGCAGGUUUUGUACCUACAUGGGGGGGUUAUUGAAUUAAUGUACAAAUAAAAUUUGUUAGGAGAUAUACUAGAUGAAGCCUUUAAUAAUACAGGAGAUGCUAUUGAAAAAUUGUCUGUAGAACAGGAACAAGCUUCAGCUAUGAUUAUGCAAAAUAGGUUUGCCCUAGAUUACUUGUUGGCCUCCAAA